ACUCCUACGGGAGGCAGCAGUGGGGAAUAUUGCACAAUGGGCGCAAGCCUGAUGCAGCCAUGCCGCGUGUAUGAAGAAGGCCUUCGGGUUGUAAAGUACUUUCAGCAGUGAGGAAGGCGGGUACGUUAAUAGCGUGCUCGUUUGACGUUAGCUGCAGAAGAAGCACCGGCUAACUCCGUGCCAGCAGCCGCGGUAAUACGGAGGGUGCGAGCGUUAAUCGGAAUUACUGGGCGUAAAGCGCAUGCAGGUGGUUCGUUAAGUCAGAUGUGAAAGCCCGGGGCUCAACCUCGGAAUUGCAUUUGAAACUGGCGGACUAGAGUACUGUAGAGGGGGGUAGAAUUUCAGGUGUAGCGGUGAAAUGCGUAGAGAUCUGAAGGAAUACCGGUGGCGAAGGCGGCCCCCUGGACAGAUACUGACACUCAGAUGCGAAAGCGUGGGGAGCAAACAGGAUUAGAUACCCUGGUAGGAUAG
rnacentral:rRNA from 1 species